rnacentral:rRNA from 1 species
AUUGAACGCUGGCGGCAGGCCUAACACAUGCAAGUCGAGCGAGCGGCGGACGGGUGCGUAAUGUCUGGGAAACUGCCUGAUGGAGGGGGAUAACUACUGGAAACGGUAGCUAAUACCGCAUACCAUCAGAUGUGCCCAGAUGGGAUUAGCUAGCAGGUGGGGUAAGGGCUCACCUAGGCGACGAGCCCUAGCGGGUCUGAUAGGAUGACCGGCGACACUGGAACUGAGACACGGUCCAUACUCCUGCGGGAGGCAGCAGUGGGGAAUAUUGCACAAUGGGCUCAAGCCUGAUGCAGCCAUGCCGCGUGUGUGAAUAAGGCCUGCGGGUUGUAAAGCACUUUCAGCGAGGAGGCGUUACUCGCAGAAGAAGCACCGGCUAACUCCGUGCCAGCCGCCGCGGUAAUUC